AGAGUUUGAUCCUGGCUCAGGACGAACGCUGGCGGCGUGCCUAACACAUGCAAGUCGAACGGUCCGGCACUCAGUACUCAGUGAUCAGUAUAAAAGUGAAUUAAAAAGUAUUUAAGAUGAUGAUUAAGUACAAUAUGCAAAUAUACUGAUUAGCGAGUACUGAGUGCCGGAUAGUGGCGGACGGGUGAGUAACGCGUGGAUAACCUGCCUAUCAGACCGGGACAACUCCGGGAAACUGGAGCUAAUACCGGAUACGAAUAUAAAAGCGCAUGCUUAUAUAUUGAAAGAUUUAUCGCUGAUAGAUGGACCCGCGUCCCAUUAGCUAGUUGGAGGUGUAAUAGACCCCCAAGGCGACGAUGGGUAGCCGGCCUGAGAGGGCGAUCGGCCACACUGGAACUGAGACACGGUCCAGACUCCUACGGGAGGCAGCAGUGGGGAAUAUUCCGCAAUGGGCGCAAGCCUGACGGAGCAACGCCGCGUGAGGGAAGAAGGUCUUCGGAUUGUAAACCUUUGUUCUAUGGGAAGAAAAAAAUGACGGUACCAUAGGAGAAAGCCCCGGCUAACUACGUGCCAGCCGCCGCGGUAAUAC
rnacentral:rRNA from 2 species